rnacentral:rRNA from 1 species
UAGGGGAUAACACUUGGAAACAGGUGCUAAUACCGGAUAACAACCAAAACCACCUGGUUUUGGUUUAAAAGACGGCUUCGGCUGUCACUUUAGGAUGGACCCGCGGCGUAUUAGCUUGUUGGUAAGGUAACGGCCUACCAAGGCGAUGAUACGUAGCCGACCUGAGAGGGUAAUCGGCCACAUUGGGACUGAGACACGGCCCAAACUCCUACGGGAGGCAGCAGUAGGGAAUCUUCCACAAUGGACGAAAGUCUGAUGGAGCAACGCCGCGUGAGUGAUGAAGGGUUUCGGCUCGUAAAACUCUGUUGUCGGAGAAGAACAGGUGUCAGAGUAACUGUUGACAUCUUGACGGUAUCCAACCAGAAAGCCACGGCUAACUACGUGCCAGCAGCCGCGGUAAUAUGUAGGUGGCAAGCGUUGUCCGGAUUUAUUGGGCGUAAAGCGAGCGCAGGCGGUUUUUUAGGUCUGAUGUGAAAGCCUUCGGCUUAACCGGAGAAGUGCAUCGGAAACCGGGAGACUUGAGUGCAGAAGAGGACAGUGGAACUCCAUGUGU